rnacentral:rRNA from 1 species
GACGAACGCUGGCGGCGCGCUUAACACAUGCAAGUCGAGCGAGAACCGGAGCUUCGGCUCCGGGGACAGCGGCGAACGGGUGAGUAACACGUGAGUAACCCACCCUCGGUACCGGGAUAGCCCGGGGAAACCCGGAUUAAUACCGGAUGGCCCAGCAGCUCUUCGGGGCGGCUGGAAAAGGUAGCUUCGGCCUCCGACCGAGGACGGGCUCGCGGCGGAUUAGCUUGUUGGUGGGGUAACGGCUCACCAAGGCGACGAUCCGUAGCUGGUCUGAGAGGACGAUCAGCCACACUGGGACUGAGACACGGCCCAGACUCCUACGGGAGGCAGCAGUGGGGAAUCUUGCGCAAUGGGCGAAAGCCUGACGCAGCGACGCCGCGUGCGGGAAGAAGGCCUUCGGGUUGUAAACCGCUUUCAGGAGGGACGAAGCCACUCGGGUGAAUAGCCCAGAGGGUGACGGUACCUCCAGAAGAAGCCCCGGCUAACUACGUGCCAGCAGCCGCAGUAAAAC